rfam:Drosophila pseudoobscura pseudoobscura strain MV2-25 chromosome 4 unlocalized genomic scaffold Ch4_group4, whole genome shotgun sequence.
CCUUCGAUAGCUCAGUUGGUAGAGCGGUGGACUGUAGAAGUGAUUGGGCUCGUAGAUCCUAUGGAGCUAUGGAGCAGUCAUCCAUAGGUCGCUGGUUCAAAUCCGGCUCGAAGGA